rnacentral:rRNA from 1 species
UGGGGAAUAUUGCACAAUGGGCGCAAGCCUGAUGCAGCCAUGCCGCGUGUGUGAAGAAGGCCUUCGGGUUGUAAAGCACUUUCAGCGGGGAGGAAGGCGAUAAGGUUAAUAACCUUGUCGAUUGACGUUACCCGCAGAAGAAGCACCGGCUAACUCCGUGCCAGCAGCCGCGGUAAUACGGAGGGUGCAAGCGUUAAUCGGAAUUACUGGGCGUAAAGCGCACGCAGGCGGUCUGUCAAGUCGGAUGUGAAAUCCCCGGGCUCAACCUAGGAACUGCAUUCGAAACUGGCAGGCUAGAGUCUUGUAGAGGGGGGUAGAAUUCCAGGUGUAGUGGUGAAAUGCGUAGAGAUCUGGAGGAAUACCGGUGGCGAAGGCGGCCCCCUGGACAAAGACUGACGCUCAGGUGCGAAAGCGUGGGGAGCAAACAGG